rnacentral:rRNA from 1 species
GCUGGCGGCAGGCUUAACACAUGCAAGUCGGAGCGGAAACGAUGGAGCUUGCUCCCAGGCGUCGAGCGGCGGCGGGUGAGUAACACUUAGGAAUCUACCUAGUAGGGGGGAUAGCUCGGGGAAACUCGAAUUAAUACCGCAUACGUCCUACGGGAGAAAGGGGGCUCCGGCUCCCGCUAUGGGAUGAGCCUAUGUCGGAUUAGCUAGUUGGUGAGGUAACGGCUCACCAAGGCCACGAUCCGUAGCUGGUCUGAGAGGAUGAUCAGCCACAUCGGGACUGAGACACGGCCCGAACUCCUACGGGAGGCAGCAGUGGGGAAUAUUGGACAAUGGGGGAAACCCUGAUCCAGCCAUGCCGCGUGUGUGAAGAAGGCCCUCGGGUUGUAAAGCACUUUCAGCGAGGAAGAACGCCUAGCGGUUAAUACCCGCUAGGAAAGACAUCACUCGCAGAAGAAGCACCGGCUAACUCCGUGCCAGCAGCCGCGGUAAUACGGAGGGUGCAAGCGCUAAUCGGAAUUACUGGGCGUAAAGCGCGCGUAGGUGGCUUGAUAAGCCGGUUGUGAAAGCCCCGGGCUCAACCUGGGAACGGCAUCCGGAACUGUCAAGCUAGAGUGCAGGAGAGGAAGGUAGAAUUCCCGGUGUAGCGGUGAAAUGCGUAGAGAUCGGGAGGAAUACCAGUGGCGAAGGCGGCCUUCUGGACUGACACUGACACUGAGGUGCGAAAGCGUGGGUAGCAAACAGGAUUAGAUACCCUUAGUCCCCGCCGUAAACGAUGUCGACCAGCCGUUGGGUCCUAGCGCACUUUGUGGCGAAGUUAACGCAUAAGUCGACCGCCUGGGGAGUACGGCCGCAAGGUAAAACUCAAAUGAAGUCGACG